rnacentral:rRNA from 1 species
AGAGUUUGAUCCUGGCUCAGGACGAACGCUGGCGGCGUGCUUAACACAUGCAAGUCGAGCGGUAAGGCCUUUCGGGGUACACGAGCGGCGAACGGGUGAGUAACACGUGGGUGAUCUGCCCUGCACUCUGGGAUAAGCCUGGGAAACUGGGUCUAAUACUGGAUAUGACCUCAGCAUGCAUGUGCUGGGGUGGAAAGCUUUUGUGGUGCAGGAUGGGCCCGCGGCCUAUCAGCUUGUUGGUGGGGUAAUGGCCUACCAAGGCGACGACGGGUAGCCGACCUGAGAGGGUGACCGGCCACACUGGGACUGAGACACGGCCCAGACUCCUACGGGAGGCAGCAGUGGGGAAUAUUGCACAAUGGGCGGAAGCCUGAUGCAGCGACGCCGCGUGAGGGAUGAAGGCCUUCGGGUUGUAAACCUCUUUCAGCAGGGACGAAGCGUGAGUGACGGUACCUGCAGAAGAAGCACCGGCUAACUACGUG